CCUGUCCUUUCUAUAGUUGUUACUAAUAUUUGUUACUUUAGAAGACCAAAAAAAAAAAAGAAUUUAAAAGUUCAUCUGACCAUUUUUAAGCUGGAGGAAAUAAUCGUAUAUGAUACCUGAUUCUAUUUUGUGAGCUGAUUUUUUCCUGUCAGAAUUAAAGCGUGGAGAUGUUUGCUGUGAUCUAGGUCAUGCUGACCUUAAUUAAAGAUGGAUUCACCAUGUGUCAGGCAGAAAGGGGAGUGCAGUGGUUGGCUGUUUCCUCCUGAGUGAAGAGAAUGAGCUCCCUUCUGGCAAAAAAAUAUAUACAUUAAAAACAUGAAGGCAUUAAUUAGUUCAUGAUAUUGAUUGUGCAUUACACAGAAGUGUUCUAAAGGGACCCUAACUCUGACUCUUGUUUCUAGUCUAUUUUUUUGUUUUGAUUCAGGAAUUUGCAGUUUAUGAUCUGUUUUCAUCCACACUGGCAUAUAGAUAGGCUCAGAUAUAAGUUCAGAGCUGAAUAAAAUAAAUCCAUCCAUUCCCAAAAACAGCCUGCAGCAAUAAGAAAUCUUAAUACGAAAAGGAAUAUCUUGCUGAUGCCCACAAUGCUCUGAUAGCAAAACCUAAAAGACCUAUAUGUACAAAUUAGAAGAAAGUGCCUUAUAACCACAAGUUCAUAACUUCAUGUUUUGUACAAUGUCAUUACCAUCCACAAAGGGACUUUUUACUAAAUUUACUGUAGCACUGAAAAAUAUGGAACAUUUGCUGAUACCUGAAAUAAAAAAUUCAAAC